UGAAGGCCUUCGGGUUGUAAACCUCUUUCAGCAGGGAAGAAGCGAAAGUGACGGUACCUGCAGAAGAAGCACCGGCUAACUACGUGCCAGCAGCCGCGGUAAUACGUAGGGUGCGAGCGUUGUCCGGAAUUAUUGGGCGUAAAGAGCUUGUAGGCGGUUUGUCGCGUCUGCUGUGAAAAUCCGGGGCUCAACCCCGGACUUGCAGUGGGUACGGGCAGACUAGAGUGUGGUAGGGGAGACUGGAAUUCCUGGUGUAGCGGUGAAAUGCGC
rnacentral:rRNA from 1 species